CCCUUAGAUGUCCGGGGCCGCACGCGCGCUACACUGAAGGAAUCAGCGUGGCUUUCUCCCUGACCCGAAAGGGUUGGGAAACCCGUUGAAUCUCCUUCGUGAUAGGGAUUGGGGCUUGAAAUUGUUCCCCAUGAACGAGGAAUUCCUAGUAAACGCAGAUCAUCAAUCUGCAUUGAUUACGUCCCUGCCCUUUGUACACACCGCCCGUCGCACCUACCGAUUGGAUGGUCCGGUGAAGCCUCGGGAUUGUGGUUCUUGCCGCUUUAUUGUGGCGUGACCGCGAGAACUUGUCUAAACCUUAUCAUCUAGAGGAAGGUGAAGUCGUAACA
rnacentral:rRNA from 1 species